rnacentral:tRNA from 1 species
GCCCCUAUAGUUUAAUGGAUAAAACAGGAGACUUCUAAGCUUUAGAUGGGAGUUCGAUUCUUCCUAGGGGCA